CACCUCCUAAAGGUUCCAUUACUUCUCUAAACAGUGCCUGUAAGUAGGCACCAAGUGCUCAAAUCCACAGGGGCACGGGACGCAGUUCCUACUCAAGCUGCCACAGUCUCUCAUGAAACCUCGAGAUGAUGACUCUGGGGCUAGCCUGGCUCCCCAUUGCACCCUAGCUGUCAUCCUGUCUUAUCUAGCCACCCCCAACUGCUCGGCUUAGAGUUGGGCAGGAACAGUCAAAAGGCAAGAAGAGACCUUUGGAACCACGCCCUCCUUCCUCACGGAUGGACCAGAAAGGAGCUCGGCUACUCUCCUCCUCCAGAUCAGUGUUGGAGACAGAAAGCUGAUGUGGAAAAGAAGGUUACUGAGGGUGAAGAGGAAACAGCGGGCCCUUGAGAGAGUCUGCCUGGGAGACACCCUUUUGGGAAAAGCUCUGCCUGACUUUGCUGCCCAGCCUCGGAAAUUCCAGGAUCUAGGAGAACCACGUGUGGAACACAUCAAGGGAGAAAGGCUUCCCAAGCACCAAACUGUAUUGUUUUUCUUGGAGGUUGGAAAGAGCUGCUGCUCAGAAAAAUUUCCAAGGUUUCUGCAAUUUGUUACGCAUCCAAGGUCAUUUCCUGGCCGGGAUUGUCCAAGGCCCUUGAGCCUGCAACGUGGAAGCAGCCUUGUGCAGGGGCCCUGCAGCCCGGGGGUGAGGUGCGGAGGGGGAGUGCGGGGUGGGGGUAGAGGAGGGGAAGAAGAAACCUGGAAGGAAACCCCACAGGGCCUGUUUGGUGUUUCUCUUUGCCCACUCCGGACUGUCUUUCCCUGAUUCUCCACUAGAGGGCACACGCCACCAACUGUACGUGCUCUCUGAGGAAGCUCUGAUACCCAGACCUAUGGGACAGGUCCUGGCAUCUCAGGGGGAUUUGGGUGGCAGCCUGGGGGUGCAGGUUUUCUCAGGAUUUCCUUUCAAGAUUUCCUGAAAAAAAAAAAACUGAACUGUGGCAUCCAUACUUUGCAGGGAUCUGAGUUCAGAACGCUGGUUUUUGUUUUUAUUUGUAAACGUAGGAUACACAGUAACAUGCCUCCUAUGGCAUCUUCACACAUACUCAGUUUUGAUUGGAUCUCCUUUGCAUCCUCUGGUCUCCGCCCCCUCCCAGCCCCAUUCCUGUUUGUACUUUUCUACCCCUAGCAGUCCUCCACCCACUUCCAGCCUUUGGAACCAGCCUUCCCAUAAUCGUCUCUUUCCCUUUCGAAAAGGUGCUUUGGGGAUGAAUUAUGAUGGGCGCUAGGGCUUUGGGUCAUUUCCUGAAGGGGAAAUGUCAACGUUGCCCAGAACAUACAUCUUUAUGGUUGAAAUAACAUAUCUACUUGAAGGUAGAGCUUUGAUCAGCUCAGAGCUGAUGGCCCCUGGACCCUGGCGUUGAACUGUAUCCGGCUGGCCACUGGCUCUACCAGGCUCUCCUACUCCAGCCCGAAGGUGGUUGUGAGGUGUCCUGCUCCCCUAAACUCAGGCAUGCCCCUUUUGUUUUCUCCUGCUCUGGGUUUGAGGGCCCCGACUUUGAACGACUGCCCCAGUGAAUCACAUCUGUCACUGAAACAUUUGAUAGGCACAACACGUGCCCUGUCCGGUUCAAGUUCAAGCUGACCCUAAAGACCCUGCUGUGCUUCUGCACAGGUGAGGCCCUGUGCUUCUGGUGCCUUUAAAGCACAGGCGGGGAUUAUGAAGUGGCCCCUCCCAUGUCACAGAGAGGGUGAGGAGACCCAGGGUAAGGGAGUGCUGAAGCUUGAGACUUGAUCUCGGGUCAUCUGACCAAGAGGCGUGGCUCAUGACUGUUUCCCACAGUCCUUUACUGCAGUAGGAACUUGGGUCUGACUUCAGAGAAAACCUGACCCUAUGAUCUUCAAGCUGCAAGGCGGGGCUCUCAGGAGGCCCCACCCCUUCCUCCUGGUGCUCUUCAUAAACUGGAACAGCGCUGGUUUGGGAGGGUUGAGAGUGCCCUUCGAGGAGGGAUGUGCCGGGCAUACUUGAGGAUGGCUUCUAUUCAGACAGUUUUACAGAACAAAGAACCCAGAAAUCAAGGGCCAGGCACCUCUGAAUGUCUGUUCCAUGUAUAAAUCCGGGGGGUUCCUAGCCCAGUUAACACCUAGAAUGGAGCCUUUUAGGAGUUGCCCAUGUCUCAUUGUCUCCCCUCUUUAGCCCUGUACCAAGCGUGCAGUCCUUUUGUUAGCCACAUGAUGGCGCAGCAACUUAAGUUUCUGGCUGACAUUUGGUCUCGGGACAGGGAGGACCUUCAGCUCUGUUCAAAGGGAGCAGAGAGACUUGGCGCUGAACUUAGU